UACUUUCCAUCCCCAAAUGGCUUUAAGUGUUAUUGGCCAAGAAGUCAUUUAAAAGAUAACUAGCAAUGUACUAGAUGCCAAGUAUGUGGAGCAUAGUAAAUAUUAUAUGAAUAAAGAGGAAGUUUGGAGAAGGUGAGAGUCACACUGGGCCUUGAACACUGGGCAAGGUUUAUAUAGAUGGAAAAUAAAUAAGAAACACAUUUCACACCAGGGAGGUGAUGUGAACAAAUCCUAAGGAUGAGGAAGUACAAGGCAUGUCAUGUUGUUGAAGGUUGGAGAAUGAUGGGAAUGGGGUAGAUGAAGAGUCAGUUAUUCAGGAAAGAAGUUUUCGUGUACUCAUCUAUUUGGCCCUCAGAUAUUUACUGAGCGCCUGCUAUCUAAAGUUGUUUCUGGGGGAAGAACAAGAGAGAAGGGUGAAAAGGUAGAUUUUUUUUUUUCCAGAGUUGUCUGGCUGGCCUGCCUCAUGCAAACAUGUUGGGCAUUGGCAUUUGGUCAGCAGCCUCUUCUCUUAACUUCACAGUUACGCACACUUGGCUGGAGUAUGUUCUGGCUCUGACCUUUCUUCCCUGGCCAAUAUGUCAGAAGGAAAGAGACCAGCUUUGGUAUAUCAAUCUUACUGAUUUAUUUCUAAACUUGAAAAAAAAAUCAAAGCAAUAUAGCAGUGUUAGAAAAAUGUUUAAAAGAAAUGGGCAAUCACCCAUAGUACUACCUUCUUAAUAUAACUAAGGUUUCUAAUCUUUUCUAGUUUUUAGCAUGGAAAUAAUGCCUUUUUUACAUGCUUCUAAUCAGAUGGUGUGUACAGUUUUGCAUCCUGCUUUAUUUACAGUUAGAACUCAUGAAAAUGUGUUGAGUAAAUGAACAUUGAUGCAUAGUGUUUACGGGAACCAGGUGUACUGCCUCUUCUCCGUUGUUAAUAUAAAUAUCACUCUAGUUCCAUCUAUCCCUAAGGAGAACCAGCUUAAGCGCAAAGACAAUCUCUCAUUUGCAAAUAUGGGCAUGAUUCCUUUUUUUGCUUUUAAUUGCCCAAAUCUUGCCCCUUUGUCCGGCAUCUGGUCAAGGAACAGGGAAGUUCUCAGAUAAGGGAUGUGGGAGAACUGGGACCAAGUCCUUGGAAUUUGAAUUUUUCCUCCCACGGUGGUUGUCUGGGUUGCUGUUCUUGCCCACUCUGUGAUCCAAGUAGUUGCUGAGUUCAGAAUUGCCAUGGGCUUUUGGAAACCUCAGUAACUGCUAGUUAACUAAAGUAACAGGUGUGAAAUUAGUUCUGUGGUUCAGUUCUGCCAAUCUUAAACCCAUAAAAAGUACAGAGUUCUACGUGUAUUAAUCAGCAGUAUCCUUCUCUCUCCCAUCCAUUUUCGCCUGCCUGAAUAAUCUCCAAGAACUACUCUAAAAGAACACAAGUAUUGACUUUGACAAAUUACACCUCCCUUUAAACAUUCCUCUGCUCAGCUUCUGAAUUCUUCUGACAGUCUAAAAAAUAGAUCCAAUAAGACAAUAUUAUUGCAUUUCCUUUAGAUUGAUUUAUCUUGGGAGCAUCUCCUCUUUCUUGUCUGUACACCUGGCACUGAGAUGGUAGCUGGCAUAAAAAUCCAAAGAUAAAUGCUUAAAAACAUCAGCAACCAAAUUAAUUCAGGAAUUUAUCUCACUCAUGUGAACUUAAUGAUCAUUCUCAUGUUUGAUGAGAUGUUCUGGGUGGAUAAAGCAUCAGAGCAAAGAGAGCAAAAUGCGUGGUGGGUGCAGGAAAAAGGAAAGUUCCUUAGGAGAAACAGAGUUGAGCAGUCGCCAGAGUAUAACUCAGUAGUAACAUCAC
rnacentral:lncRNA from 1 species